AAAUUGAAGAGUUUGAUCAUGGCUCAGAUUGAACGCUGGCGGCAGGCCUAACACAUGCAAGUCGAGCGGCAGCGACAACAUUGAAUCUUCGGAGGAUUUGUUGGGCGGCGAGCGGCGGACGGGUGAGUAAUGCCUAGGAAAUUGCCCUGAUGUGGGGGAUAACCAUUGGAAACGAUGGCUAAUACCGCAUGAUGCCUACGGGCCAAAGAGGGGGACCUUCGGGCCUCUCGCGUCAGGAUAUGCCUAGGUGGGAUUAGCUAGUUGGUGAGGUAAGGGCUCACCAAGGCGACGAUCCCUAGCUGGUCUGAGAGGAUGAUCAGCCACACUGGAACUGAGACACGGUCCAGACUCCUACGGGAGGCAGCAGUGGGGAAUAUUGCACAAUGGGCGCAAGCCUGAUGCAGCCAUGCCGCGUGUGUGAAGAAGCGCCUGGGUUGUAAAGCACUUUCAGUAGGGAGGAAGCGUUCAUGCGUUAAUAGCGUAUGGAUUUGACGUUACCUACAGAAGAAGCACCGGCUAACUCCGUGCCAGCAGCCGCGGUAAUACGGAGGGUGCGAGCGUUAAUCGGAAUUACUGGGCGUAAAGCGCAUGCAGGUGGUUUGUUAAGUCAGAUGUGAAAGCCCGGGGCUCAACCUCGGAAUUGCAUUUGAAACUGGCAGACUAGAGUACUGUAGAGGGGGGUAGAAUUUCAGGUGUAGCGGUGAAAUGCGUAGAGAUCUGAAGGAAUACCGGUGGCGAAGCGCGGCCCCUGGACAGAUACUGACACUCAGAUGCGAAAGCGUGGGGAGCAAACAGGAUUAGAUACCCUGGUAGUCCACGCCGUAAACGAUGUCUACUUGGAGGUUGUGGCCUUGAGCCGUGGCUUUCGGAGCUAACGCGUUAAGUAGACCGCCUGGGGAGUACGGUCGCAAGAUUAAAACUCAAAUGAAUUGACGGGGGCCCGCACAAGCGGUGGAGCAUGUGGUUUAAUUCGAUGCAACGCGAAGAACCUUACCUACUCUUGACAUCCAGAGAAGCCAGUAGAGAUACAGGUGUGCCUUCUGGGAACUCUGAGACAGGUGCUGCAUGGCUGUCGUCAGCUCGUGUUGUGAAAUGUUGGGUUAAGUCCCGCAACGAGCGCAACCCUUAUCCUUGUUUGCCAGCGAGUAAUGUCGGGAACUCCAGGGAGACUGCCGGUGAUAAACCGGAGGAAGGUGGGGACGACGUCAAGUCAUCAUGGCCCUUACGAGUAGGGCUACACACGUGCUACAAUGGCGCAUACAGAGGGCGGCCAACUUGCGAAAGUGAGCGAAUCCCAAAAAGUGCGUCGUAGUCCGGAUUGGAGUCUGCAACUCGACUCCAUGAAGUCGGAAUCGCUAGUAAUCGUGGAUCAGAAUGCCACGGUGAAUACGUUCCCGGCCUUGUACACACCGCCCGUCACACCAUGGGAGUGGGCUGCAAAGAAGUAGGUAGUUUAACCUUUCGGGAGGACGCUUACCACUUUGUGGUUCAUGACUGGGGUGAAGUCGUAACAAGGUAGCGCUAGGGGAACCUGGCGCUGGAUCACCUCCUUAUACGAUGAU
rnacentral:rRNA from 1 species